GAUGAACGCUGGCGGCGUGCCUAAUACAUGCAAGUCGAGCGAAUGGAUUAAGAGCAUGCUCUUAUGAAGUUAGCGGCGGACGGGUGAGUAACACGUGGGUAACCUGCCCAUAAGACUGGGAUAACUCCGGGAAACCGGGGCUAAUACCGGAUAACAUUUUGAACCGCAUGGUUCGAAAUUGAAAGGCGGCUUCGGCUGUCACUUAUGGAUGGACCCGCGUCGCAUUAGCUAGUUGGUGAGGUAACGGCUCACCAAGGCAACGAUGCGUAGCCGACCUGAGAGGGUGAUCGGCCACACUGGGACUGAGACACGGCCCAGACUCCUGCGGGAGGCAGCAGUAGGGAAUCUUCCGCAAUGGACGAAAGUCUGACGGAGCAACGCCGCGUGAGUGAUGAAGGCUUUCGGGUCGUAAAACUCUGUUGUUAGGGAAGAACAAGUGCUAGUUGAAUAAGCUGGCACCUUGACGGUACCUAACCAGAAAGCCACGGCUAACUACGUGCCAGCCGCCGCUGUAA
rnacentral:rRNA from 1 species